UAGUGGCCCGUGUGGACAAUGCUGCAAGUGUGAAGAAGAGUAUGUAUGUAGAACAGUCAGGGUUGUCAUUUUACUUGUAGAAAUUGUAGUAUUAUAUGCAUUUAUUCUACAUCUACAUCCACAAGUAGAUGUAGAAGUGUAGGACUCAGAAAGUAGAAGUAGAGUAGCAUUGCAUUGCAACUUUGAAAUUGAAUAUUCAAAAAUUAUAAAAUGAAUGCAAAAGGGCGAUAAACUAAGAUACAACACUUCUAUACACAAUAUUUUUUGUUUUAAAGUUUACACAUUCAGAGGAUAACUGUACUUUAAAAUUAUUUUCAUUUUUUACUCUGGAGAAGGCAGUAUAUAAUUGUCCAUGUGCGAAAACUUCAUGAGUCAAGUUCACUCCAACAAAUUCAAAUGUUUGACCUUGACUUUUAUUUAUGGUCAUAGCAAAAGCAGGAAUUACUGGAAAUUGAGUUCUUUUUAAUUGAAAUGGUAAGGUAGAAUCACUUGGUAAUAAAUCAAUUUGUGGUAUAUUGACUAUUUUAUCUGCAUGUAUACCAGUCAAAAUUUCACAUUGAAUGAAAUGAUUAAAUAAUUUUACUAUUAAUAAUCUUGUUCCAUUGCACAAACCUUCUCGGACAUUUAAGUUUCGUAAUAACAUAACUACACAUCCAACUUUUAGGCGUAACUCAUGAGGAGGCAUUCCAGAAGGUGUUUGGGUAUAUAAAAAAUCUAAAGGGUACCGUUCAAUUUCUAAGGGAUCAUCACUUUGAACUUUAUCAGAACUAUAAUAAAUUGUUUCUUCUCCAUUUAUCAAUCGUAAAAUUUCAUUAUUCACUGUUAAUGCAGUGGAAUUGAGUGCACAAAGAAUUGUUUUUGAUUUGACUACAUUUUUGCUGAAAUCGCUACCAUAGAUAUCUGCAAUAAGAUUCUUUGAAAUGUAUUUUUGUGGUAUUUCAAUUUUAUCGUCACUAUCAUUCAUACUUCCAUUUCCUAUUGAUAACAACCAAGCAUUAAAAAUAUUAUUAGUGCACCUUAUAUUUUCAGUCAAUGAAAAAAAUUUAAAAUGACGCCAUAAAGAACUAUAUAUUAAGCAGUGUUCAAGUAUAACAGUAGCAUUUGCUCUAGGAACCACAGCUUCUUUGGAACCAGCUUUUAUAAAUGAAAUUGAAUCAUCUAAAAUUGGCACAGGCAAUUUGAAACCACUAUGAGCAGUGCGACCAUUUUCUAAUAGAAGUGCAGCUAUACCAGUGGUUGCAAAUGAGAAAACAAUUGCAUGCUUACUUUGCACAUAUUGCACAAUUGUAUUAUAUAAAUAGGUCUUUCCACACCCUCCAGGUCCAUCAACAAAAAAACAUCUCUGCAAACUAUUUUUAUUUUCAAAUGCAUUUUUUAUUUCAUUAAAUAUUAUCAAUUGUUUCUCAUUUAGUGAAUCUAUGCGUAAUUGUAAUACUUGCUCAUCAAUUAUCGGAAUAUAAUCAUUGACAUCUUCUUGUUCAGCUAAA